UGGAUCACCUCCUAACAGGGAGACAACAAAAUGUUUAAUAUUUACUAUUUUGUCACCUUAGGUCGAUCGGUAUCUCACAUUCUUAAUUCAUUAAGAAUUUCACUUCCUAAGUUUUUCUAGGUCACACCCAUUAUUUUUCCUGGGCCAUUAGCUCAGGUGGUUAGAGCGCACCCCUGAUAAGGGUGAGGUCCCUGGUUCAAGUCCAGGAUGGCCCAUAUCUCUAUGUUGGGGGUAUAGCUCAGUUGGUAGAGCGCCUGCUUUGCAAGCAGGAUGUCAGCGGUUCGAGUCCGCUUACCUCCACUGAUUACCACCUCUUCCAUAAUCUGUAAAAAGGAAAUGUUUUGAGUUGUGAUCAAAUUCUGAACGAAUCUAGCUUCCUAAUGGAAACAUUAAGAUGCUGGACUCAUUGAAUUAUUUUCAUUGUUUUCAGAGAACCUUGACAACUGCAUAGAUUUUUUUUAAAGACAAUAAGCAUCUUUAAUGAUGCAGAUUUAUUAUUUGUGCGAAUGCAUUAAUAACAAUUCUAUUAAGCUGAUGCUUCAAAUUUGAAGUUAUUGGUCAAGCUACAAAGGGCUCACGGAGGAUACCUAGGCACACAGAGGCGAUGAAGG
rnacentral:tRNA from 1 species